ensembl:lncRNA
CUUUUUUUACUUCAUUUUUCUUAUGUUUUUUUUUUUGUCUUUUUUUUAUUAUAGCUUUUUAUUGGCAACAUAUGCAGGGGUAAUUUUUCAACAUUGUCUCUUGCAAUCACUUCUGUUCCAACUUUUUCCUUCCUUCUCUCCAUCCCCUCCCCUAGAUGGCAGACAGUCUCAUAAAUGUUAAGCAUAUUAAAGUGUAUCUAAAAUACAAUAUGUGUGUACAGUUUUUUGUACAGUUCUCUUGUUGCACAAGAAAAAUCAGCUUCAGAAAGGUAAAAAUAACCUGGGAAGAAAAACAAAAUGCAAGUAGUCCACAUUCAUUUCCCAGUGUUCUCUCUCUGGGUGUAGCUGGUUCUGUUCAUCAUUGAUCAAUUGGAACUGAAUUGGAUCUUUUCAUUGCCGAAGAUAGCCACUUCCAUCAGAAUACAUCCUCAUAUAGUAUUCUUGUUGAAGUGUAUAAUGAUCUCCUGGUUCUGCUCAUUUCACUCAGCAUCAAUUCAUGUAAGUCUCUCCAAGCUUCUCUGUAUUCAUCCUCCUGGUCAUUUUUUACAGAACAAUAAUAUUCCAUGACAUUCAUAUACCACAAUUUACCCAACCAUUCUCCAUUUGAUGGGCAUCCAUUUAUUUUCCAGUUUCUAGCCAUUACAAACAGGGCUGCCACAAAUAUUUUUGCACAUGUGGGUCCCUUUCUCUCCUUUAAGAUCUCUUUUGGUUAUAAGUCCAGUAGUAACACUGCUGGAUCCAAAGGAUAUCCACAGUUUGAUAACUUUUUGAGCAUAGUUCCAAACUGCUCUCCAGAAUGGCUGGCUCCGUUCACAGUUCCACCAACAAUUUAUUAUUGUCCCAGUUUUCCCGCAUCCCCUCCAACAUUUGUCAUUAUCUUUUCUUGUCAUCUUAGCCAAUCUGACAGGUGUGUAGUGGUAUCUUAAGAGUUGCCUUACUUUGCAUUUCUCUGAACAAUAGUGAUUUAGAGUAUCUUUUCAUAUGACAAUUGAAACUAUUUUAAUUUCUUUAUCUGAAAAUUGUUCAUAUCAUUUGAUUAUUUAUCAGCUGGAGAAUGGUGAAUUUUUAUAAAUUUGAGUCAAUUCUCUAUAUAUUUUAGAAAUGAGGCCUUUAUCAGAACCCUUAAAUAUAAAAAUGUUUUCCCAGUUUAUUGCUUCCCUUCUAAUCUUGUCUGCAUUAGUUUUAUUUGUACAAAACCUUUUUAACUUAAUAUAAUCAAAGUUAUCUAUUUGGUAUUCAGUUAUGAGUUCCAGUUCAUCUUUGGUCACAAAUUUCUUCCUUUUCCACAGAUCAAGUCCUAAUUUCUUCCUUACUAAUUUCCAAUUUUCCCAGCAGUUUUUGUCAAAUAGUAAGUUCUUAUCCCUAAAGCUGGGGUCUUUGGUUUGUCAAACGCUAGAUUGCUAUAGUUUUUACCUAUCUUGUCUUGUGAUCCUAACACAUUACACUGAUCGGUUACUCUAUUUCUUAGCCAGUACCAAAUGGUUUUGAUGACUGCUGCUUUAUAAUAUAGUUUUAUGCCUAAUGAGUCUCAAAGUCUUGACUAAAGCACAUCAAUCAGGUAAAGGAACUGGACAUAUGUUUAUUCUGGAGAAGAGGUGAAUCCCAGGGACAGAAUGUCAGUCUUCAAGUAUCUUGAGAUAUGGAUUCAGCCUAUUAUGAUAAUUUCAGAGAGAAAAUGUAACUUCCUAAAACCAGAGCUAUCUGAAAGAGGCCAACAGUGAAUUCCCACUUAGUGGAACUUUUGAGCAAAGAGUGAUGACUAAUUUUGGGGAAUGUUGUGGGAAACAUUCAUGCUUAGGUUUGGGCUGAACUUAAUGGCCACUCUGCCACUCUGAGAAUGAGUGAUUUUGUUAAUUUGAUUUUUCCUUAAUUUUUCCUCGUAUGAUAUGAUUUAGAUAUAUUUCAUGUACUUCAUUAUUUUGGCUACUUCUCUCUCAAAGCUCUUUAACCUGUCUUAUUUAAUAUGUGGGGCCCAUUACUGAACAUACUCCUGCAGACGUGGCUGAGCAGAACAGAACAUGCUCACAUGCUUGCUUCUCAUGUACUGGUUUGUUUCCUCUACCUUCAGAUAAAAUCGAUUAAUUAUAAGAUAUCUGUCACUCAGUGGGCUGUGGAGUGGGGAGACAAUAAAAGAGAUGUAAAAACAAAAGGCAUAUUGAGGAAUGUCAUAUGUCAUCAAGUGU